rnacentral:sRNA from 1 species
CUCUAGCCUGGGCGACACAGCGAGACUCUGUCUCAAAAAUAAAAAGACAUAUAUGUGAAGCACAAACCAAGUGUGGGUCCGCUUCAAGAGGCUGGAACUAGAGCUUUGGACACAGCAAGUGAAAACCCUGCCCCAUGAGGCUCACAGGGUGGCAGCGUGCCUCACCCACCCUCUGUUCUUCUAGAUACCAUGAAAAUGUCACAUCUGCCGAUGUCCUCCAAAGUUGUUUACAGGUUUCAUUUGGUUAAGAGCUUGGUUUUAUAUACAUUGUGAGAAAAAUCACCAGUUCGGUGUGAAAAUUGAAAUGGGGGUAGACACUGGCCCCUUCCAAGCUGUGCCCCGGGAAGACCUCCCAGGCCAGCCCCAGUGGUGCUCUCAGGCGGGGUAUGGGGUUGUGAGGACAGACAGGGGCCCCUCUCAAGGUCUCUGCUGCUCCAUCGAAGACAGACCCCAGGGCUUCGGGAAAUCCACAGCCUGGUGGCACUGGCUCAUGCAGUCCUUUUCCUGUUUCUAGUGCUGAUGAGCGCUUUGACGCCACAUUCCACACUAACGUGUUGGUGAAUUCUUCCGGGCAUUGCCAGUACCUGCCUCCAGGCAUAUUCAAGAGUUCCUGCUACAUCGAUGUACGCUGGUUUCCCUUUGAUGUGCAGCAUUGCAAACUGAAGUUUGGGUCCUGGUCUUACGGAGGCUGGUCCUUGGAUCUGCAGAUGCAGGAGGCAGAUAUCAGUGGCUAUAUCCCCAAUGGAGAAUGGGACCUAGUGGGAAUCCCUGGCAAGAGGAGUGAAAAGUUCUAUGAGUGCUGCAAAGAGCCCUACCCCGAUGUCACCUUCACAGUGACCAUGCGCCGCAGGACGCUCUACUAUGGCCUCAACCUGCUGAUCCCCUGUGUGCUCAUCUCUGCCCUCGCCCUGCUGGUGUUCCUGCUUCCUGCAGAUUCCGGGGAGAAGAUUUCCCUGGGUAAGUGCCCCGAUGUCUGGCGGGAGUCUGAGACUGGAGGCCCUAUGCUGAUGAGGUCAGCUCUGGAGGGCUCACGGCGGACAGCGCAGGACUCUAUCAGGUUUCCUAGGGAUUCCCUGGCUCAUCCCACAUGGACCUCCUAGCCCAGGGUGGCUCCAGGACACCAGAGGUCCCUGAUUCGGGCUCCGUGCUGGACGGCUGUGUGAUCCUGAGAAUACUGGAGGACCCUCAGAGGAUGGGGGAUGCACGGGGAGGGGCCAGCUCCAUUCUGCCAAGAGGGGCCUGUGCUUUCUUCCCUCCUGCCACCCCACCUGUUCCUCGAUGGCGACUGGUCAUCGAGGGAACAAUUUAGCCUAGUAUCAGCUUGCAUUUGUAUGUUACAGUACCCAGUGUAAUUCUUAUGAUCACUCCCAUACGAAGCUAAGGAAACCAAGAUUUUGAAUGGUGGAAUGAGUUUCCCAAUGUCUUAAAGAGUUACUAAACAUCAGAUGUAGCAUAUGGUAGAAAUCAUUCCCAAACCCGUAUCUUCUGAGUAUGAGGUUCAGAAAGGUUGAAUGUUAUAUCUAAGGUCACAUAGCUAGCUCAGUAGCAAAUGUAAGACCUGAAACCAGGUCUCCUGACUGCAUAUUUUCUUUUUCCUGCUACGUGAAACUACUUCUCAAUAAUAUUUUACAAAGAAUAUGAGAGAUAAUUGUGCCAAGUUAAAUUUUUCAGUUUGUGUUGAUGCUUUUAAAAUUCUGGGUCCUAAACUUGUCUCCAUAAGAGACUCCUUUGGGACUCUGGUAAGUGGCAUGGAAUGUCCCCUGGAAAAUGCACACGCCCGUACACAGGGAAAACGUGCAUUCCACGACAUUCCCCCCCAGCGCCUCCCUAGUUCUUUCGAGUGUCAGGUUAGGAGCCCUCCUUAGACAGAAUUGAGGCCUUCUUGUCUGCUUUGUCUGAGGAGCCGCUGUGUGUUUAUGUUUUAGGGAUAACAGUCUUACUCUCUCUCACUGUCUUCAUGCUGCUGGUAGCCGAGAUCAUGCCCGCAACAUCCGAUUCGGUACCACUGAUAGCCCAGUACUUCGCCAGCACCAUGAUCAUCGUGGGCCUCUCAGUGGU